CAGCCGCCACGGGAACACGGAGGGGGCUAGCGUUGUUCGGAAUUACUGGGCGUAAAGCGCACGUAGGCGGCUUUGUAAGUUAGAGGUGAAAGCCCGGAGCUCAACUCCGGAAUUGCCUUUAAGACUGCAGAGCUAGCAGGUGAGAGAGGUGAGUGGAAUUCCGAGUGUAGAGGUGAAAUUCGUAGAUAUUCGGAAGAACACCAGUGGCGAAGGCGGCUCACUGGCUCAUACUGGACGCUGAGGUGCGAAAGCGUGGGGAGCAAACAGGAUUAGAUACCCCCGUAGUCCCUGUUCUCUUAUA
rnacentral:rRNA from 1 species